UGGCCGAGCGGUUAAGGCGUCUGACUAGAAAUCAGAUUCCCUCUGGGAGCGCAGGUUCGAAUCCUACCGACUGCGAAUGUGUUGUCCGAAAAAUAGGCUGUUUCUUUUCUUCUGAUAGAAGACAACUAUCGAUUUUGUGCUCCUCGUUUUAUGAACUUUCUGUUUCAUUUCUUUUUCAGUAAUUUGGUUAUAUGAAUUACUGAAAGAUGUCAAUAAACUAAUUGCACGUGGGAAUCCGAGUUCAGGGGUGCUUUUUGACUGUUU